rnacentral:rRNA from 1 species
UACGAAGGGGGCUAGCGUUGCUCGGAAUCACUGGGCGUAAAGGGUGCGUAGGCGGGUCUUUAAGUCAGGGGUGAAAUCCUGGAGCUCAACUCCAGAACUGCCCUUGAUACUGGCGAUCUUGAGUCCGGAAGAGGUGAGUGGAACUCCGAGUGUAGAGGUGAAAUUCGUAGAUAUUCGGAAGAACACCAGUGGCGAAGGCGGCUCACUGGUCCGGUACUGACGCUGAGGUGCGAAAGCGUGGGGAGCAAACAGG